GCCUACGGGGCGCAGCAGUAGGGAAUCUUCCACAAUGGACGAAAGUCUGAUGGAGCAACGCCGCGUGAGUGAAGAAGGGUUUCGGCUCGUAAAGCUCUGUUGGUAGUGGAGAAAGAUAGAGGGAGUAACUGGCCUUUAUUUGACGGGAAUUACUUAGAAAGUCACAGCUAACUACGUGCCAGCAGCCGCGGGAAUACGUAGGUGGCAAGCGUUGUCCGGGUUUAUUGGGCGUAAAGCGAGUGCAGGCGGUUCAAAAAGGGU
rnacentral:rRNA from 1 species